UACGUAGGGUGCAAGCGUUAAUCGGAAUUACUGGGCGUAAAGCGUGCGCAGGCGGUUGUGCAAGACCGAUGUGAAAUCCCCGGGCUUAACCUGGGAAUGGCAUUGGUGACUGCACGGCUAGAGUGUGUCAGAGGGGGGUAGAAUUCCACGUGUAGCAGUGAAAUGCGUAGAGAUGUGGAGGAAUACCGAUGGCGAAGGCAGCCCCCUGGGAUAACACUGACGCUCAUGCACGAAAGCGUGGGGAGCAAACAGGAUUAGAAACCCUGUAGUCC
rnacentral:rRNA from 1 species